rnacentral:rRNA from 1 species
ACCCGCUGAACUUAAGCAUAUCAAUAAGCGGAGGAAAAGAAACCAACAGGGAUUGCCCUAGUAACGGCGAGUGAAGCGGCAACAGCUCAAAUUUGAAAUCUGGCGCAAGCCCGAGUUGUAAUUUGUAGAGGAUGCUUCUGGGCAGCGGCCGGUCUAAGUUCCUUGGAACAGGACGUCAUAGAGGGUGAGAAUCCCGUAUGCGACCGGUUGGCACCCGUCACGUAGCUCCUUCGACGAGUCGAGUUGUUUGGGAAUGCAGCUCUAAAUGGGUGGUAAAUUCCAUCUAAAGCUAAAUACCGGCCAGAGACCGAUAGCGCACAAGUAGAGUGAUCGAAAGAUGAAAAGCACUUUGGAAAGAGAGUUAAAAAGCACGUGAAAUUGUUGAAAGGGAAGCGCAUGCAACCAGACUUGUCCGCGGUGUUCCGCCGGUCUUCUGACCGGUCUACUCGCCGUGGGCAGGCCAGCAUCGUUUGGGUGCGCCGGAUAAAGGCGUCGGGAAUGUGGCCCUUCGGGGUGUUAUAGCCCGUCGCACAAUACGGCGCCGCCCGAGCGAGGUCCGCGCUUCGGCUAGGAUGCUGGCGUAAUGGUUGUAUGCGGCCCGUCUUGAAACACGG